GACGAACGCUGGCGGCGUGCUUAACACAUGCAAGUCGAACGGAAAGGCCUGCAGCUUGCUGCGGGUACUCGAGUGGCGAGCGGGUGAGUAACACGUGGGUGAUCUGCCUUGCACUUCGGGAUAAGCUUGGGAAACUGGGUCUAAUACCGGAUAGGACAGCUGUUUAGUGUCAGUUGUGGAAAGUUUUUUCGGUGCAAGAUGAGCUCGCGGCCUAUCAGCUUGUUGGUGGGGUAAUGGCCUACCAAGGCGUCGACGGGUAGCCGGCCUGAGAGGGUGUACGGCCACAUUGGGACUGAGAUACGGCCCAGACUCCUACGGGAGGCAGCAGUGGGGAAUAUUGCACAAUGGGCGGAAGCCUGAUGCAGCGACGCCGCGUGGGGGAUGAAGGCCUUCGGGUUGUAAACUCCUUUCGACAGGGACGAAGCUUUUGUGACGGUACCUGUAUAAGAAGCACCGGCUAACUACGUG
rnacentral:rRNA from 1 species